rnacentral:rRNA from 1 species
AUUGAACGCUGGCGGCAUGCCUUACACAUGCAAGUCGAACGGCAGCACGGGAGCAAUCCUGGUGGCGAGUGGCGAACGGGUGAGUAAUAUAUCGGAACGUGCCCAGUAGUGGGGGAUAGCCCGGCGAAAGCCGGAUUAAUACCGCGUACGACCUGAGGGUGAAAGCCGGGGACCGCAAGGCCUGGCGCUUGAAGAGGGGCCCGCGCCUGAUUAGCUAGUUGGUGGGGUAAUGGCUCACCAAGGCAACGAUCAGUAUCCGGCCUGAGAGGGCGGACGGACACACUGGGACUGAGACACGGCCCAGACUCCUACGGGAGGCAGCAGUGGGGAAUUGUUCGCAAUGGGCGCAAGCCUGACGACGCAACGCCGCGUGGAGGAUGAAGAUCUUCGGGUCGUAAACUCUUUUCGAUCGAGACGAAUGGCCCUUGGGCUAAUACCCUGAGGGAGUGACGGUACCGAGAGAAGAAGCCCCCGGCUAACUCCGUGCCAGCAGCCGCGGUAAU